rnacentral:rRNA from 1 species
GACGAACGCUGGCGGCGCGCCUAACACAUGCAAGUCGAACGAGCGAGAGAGAGCUUGCUUUCUCGAGCGAGUGGCGAAGGGGUGAGUAACGCGUGAGGAACCUGCGUCGAGGGGGGGGACAACAGUUGGAGACGACUGCUAAUACCGCAGUAGCGCACGGUGCAGCAUGGCACAGAGGGAAAAGGAGCAAUCCGCUUUGAGAUGGCCUCGCGUCCGAUUAGCUAGUUGGUGGGGUAAUGGCCCACCAAGGCGACGAUCGGUACCCUGACUGUGAGGUUGAACGCCCACUCUGGCAGUAGGACACGGCCCAGACUCCUACGCGAUGCAGCAGUGGGUAAUAUUGCAAAGUGGGGUGAACCCUGAUGCAGCUACGCCGCGUGGAGGAAGAAGGUUUUCGGAUUGUAAACUCCUGUUGUUCGGGAAGAUAAUGACGGUACCCAACAAGUAAGUGACGGCUAACUACGUG